GGAGCUGUUUACAUGGCGUGAUUUUGAUCUGAUUGUUUAAUCUGGUUGUUCAAUCAGAUUACUUUUGGUCCAUGUAACCGCAGCUAAUGACAGGGCGCUGCC